rnacentral:rRNA from 1 species
CUACUGGGGUAUCUAAUCCUGUUCGCUACCCAUGCUUUCGCUCCUCAGCGUCAGUUACGGCCCAGAGACCCGCCUUCGCCACCGGUGUUCCUCCUGAUAUCUGCGCAUUUCACCGCUACACCAGGAAUUCCAGUCUCCCCUACCGCACUCUAGCUCGCCCGUACCCACUGCAGACCCAGGGUUAAGCCCCGGGCUUUCACAGCAGACGCGACGAGCCGCCUACGAGCUCUUUACGCCCAAUAAUUCCGGACAACGCUCGCACCCUACGUAUUACCGCGGCUGCUGGCAC